AUUAAACGCUGGCGGCAUGCCUUACACAUGCAAGUCGAACGGCAGCACGGGGGCAACCCUGGUGGCGAGUGGCGAACGGGUGAGUAAAGCAUCGGAACGUGCCCUGGAGUGGGGGAUAACGUAGCGAAAGUUACGCUAAUACCGCAUAUUCUGUGAGCAGGAAAGCAGGGGAUCGCAAGACCUUGCGCUCUGGGAGCGGCCGAUGUCGGAUUAGCUAGUUGGUGGGGUAAAGGGACCUACCAAGGCGACGAUCCGUAGCGGGUCGUGAGAGGAUGAUCCGCCACACUGGGACUGAGACACGGCCCACGACUCCUACGGGAGGCAGCAGUGGGGAAGUUUUGGUACAAUGGGCGGAAAGACCUGAUCCAGCCAUGCCGCGUGAGUGAAGAAAGGCCUCGUUGUAAGUACGUACUUCGUU
rnacentral:rRNA from 1 species